ensembl:lncRNA
CAGAAAUCGAUAGAACAUAGAUAUGAUGUUGUAGAAGAAAAUAUUAUUGCUCAGAGGUAGCUUUCAUUGCUUGGGGGAAUUAAUAAAGUCUUGUUUAUGUUCCAUUGAAUUAUGUUUUAUAUAAACUUUUUUCUGAAAAUUUUUUUCCCUCUAUUUCACUUUUUCCUGUUUUAUUAAUUUAUUCCUGUAUUAAUUUGUGGCUGUCCAAUGAUGUUUAAUGUUCUCCGGUGGCUGCGGAUGUAAUCUUUUCCUUUUCCACUCGAGCAGCUGACAGUGAGAUUGGUGGAGGAUGUGUGGGGAUGUUAGCGUCAGCGAACCUGUUAGCAUCUCAUGUGGGAAACAAGCCUGAGUUUGCUGCUGUGAGCUGCUGUCAGUGUCACACAACCCCUAUUUACAUGCUGUGCGGUUCGCAGUAGUAUCCAGACAGAGGUAUUUAGAGCAAUGCUGAUUUCAGGAGGUCACAGGGUCUUUAAAGCUGGGAGAAGAGCCAGUUACUCUCCAGAGAGACACUUCUCUGGCCACAAGGCCACCACCUACAACAUAAAGAUAAUGUCCAUAGCGCACAUAUUUUCUGAGGGGAGAUAUGUGACAAGUCAUCAUUGGUUAUUAAUACCUCUCAGGACUACUGAUAGGAGUAAUAUUGGAUGUUUGCCGAAACUGAAUUGAGAACAUAAACAACAUGGUUGGAAGGAGUUCUGUGUUCUCUAUUGAUCCGCUGGGCUCGUGGAUGCUCCUGCAGGAAUGGCCUGAGCAAUAAACACAGCCAUUAACUGGUUAAUUGGUUUUUCUGAUAUCUCUAUUUGUGACUGAUGAUUGGACAAAGACUGAUGGCAAUCUCUGCAGGGGGCUCAACUAAAAAACAAUCUAUUUCUCAGAUCUACCUGGACUCCUGCCCAGAUUCAUUUCAGGCACAUCUGAUAAUUGCAGGGGUCUUGAUGAGAGAUUAUAUCACUGUCACCCUAAAGAUUAUAGGGUGCUUAUCUUGUACUCUUGGAAAAUUUCUUAGUACAAAGAAUAU